rnacentral:rRNA from 1 species
GACGAACGCUGGCGGCGUGCCUAACACAUGCAAGUCGAACGAAGCAUUUGAGUGGAUCCCUUCGGGGUGAAGCUUUUAUGACUUAGUGGCGGACGGGUGAGUAACGCGUGAGUAACCUGCCUUUCAGAGGGGGAUAACAGUUGGAAACGACUGCUAAUACCGCAUAACGUAUUUUUAUCGCAUGAUAGAAAUACCAAAGCUGAGGCGCUGAAAGAUGGACUCGCGUCUGAUUAGAUAGUUGGUGGGGUAACGGCCUACCAAGUCGACGAUCAGUAGCCGGACUGAGGGGUUGAUCGGCCACAUUGGGACUGAGACACGGCCCAGACUCCUACGGGAGGCAGCAGUGGGGAAUAUUGCACAAUGGGCGAAAGCCUGAUGCAGCAACGCCGCGUGAGGGAAGACGGUUUUCGGAUUGUAAAGCACUUUCGACGGGGACGAUGAUGACGGUACCUGUAGAAGAAGCUCCGGCUAACUUCGUGCCAGCAGCCGCGGU